AACAUGGGAUAAGUGGAAUGAGACAGGGGCAUUUGUACGUGAUGUGAUCAUUGCUUUGUUAGUGCAGGCUCAGUGACACGCCGGGAAUGCACUGAAGUUAGGGGGGAUUUUACUCAAUAUAAAGGAAGAUUAGGUGCCAUCUACUGGUGAAGAAACUGAAAACUUUUCCAUUUUUCCAACAAAACUUUGUAUCUUUUCAGACAAUGCAGUGUCCUGGUUGUUGGAUAUACAACUCAUCAUCCUGUAGUCAUGGCGUACAAUAAGAAAACUAUUCUCAACUCUCAUGUCAAGUGGGCUAACGUAAUACACUCCUGGUUACUAUUCAUCAAGUGCAACAAUUCUGUGUGGCCAAAUAAUACAAUGGAAAACAACGUUCAAAAACAAAUAUUCACACCCGCAAUACUCUCUCCACUGCAAAUCUCACCACGGCAUCCACCUCAACCUCAAGUUAAUCGAAUGAUAGCAACUGAAGUACAUCCUUAGAUACCAUUUUCUGUCUCAUACAGCUUUAUUUGUACAUAUGCUUUUUUCCUUUUUCUUUUUUUUUGUACACCAAUGGUUUGAAAUACACACAUUACAAUGCAAUUUGUUAAUUUCACAAUAUGACUGUCACUCAAACCCAAUUAUACAGCAGUAAUUCAUUAUUUUUACUAGUAUGGAUAUACCACAAAUUUUCCAUUAUUUCCAUUUUAAUGGAAUUGAUAUUUUUGCCCAAACAAUGCUGCAGUUAAUAUCCUUUUAGAAAUAUCUUCAUAUUCUGGUGCCUUUAUUUACUCAGGAGAGACUCCAGAAAGAACACAUGUUUUGUCAUUUUAAUGUAUAUUACUGCAUUUCUUUCCCCAAAUGUAACUCAAAUUCCUAACAGCAAUGUAUGACAAGUUCCAUUCUCCCAUGUCCUUGUCAACACUGGAUAUUAUUCAUCUCUUUAAUAUUUUCCCAAAUAUUUUCCCCCCAAAAUGGUAUCUCCUUAUUUUAAUAUGCAUUUCCCUGAUUACCAGUAAGGUGGAAUGUCUUUUCAUAUA